rnacentral:rRNA from 1 species
GAUGAACGCUGGCGGCGUGCCUAAUACAUGCAAGUCGAGCGAACAGAUAAGGAGCUUGCUCCUUUGACGUUAGCGGCGGACGGGUGAGUUACACGUGGAUAACCUACCUAUAAGACUGGGAUAACUUCGGGAAACCGGAGCUAAUACCGGAUAACAUAAUGAACCGCAUGGUUCAAUAGUGAAAGGCGGCUUUGCUGUCACUUAUAGAUGGAUCCGCGCCGUAUUAGCUAGUUGGUAAGGUAACGGCUUACCAAGGCAACGAUACGUAGCCGACCUGAGAGGGUGAUCGGCCACACUGGAACUGAGACACGGUCCAGACUCCUACGGGAGGCAGCAGUAGGGAAUCCUCCGCAAUGGGCGAAAGCCUGACGGAGCAACGCCGCGUGAGUGAUGAAGGUCUUCGGAUCGUAAAACUCUGUUAUCAGGGAAGAACAAAUGUGUAAGUAACUGUGCACAUCUUGACGGUACCUGAUCAGAAAGCCACGGCUAACUACGUG